rnacentral:rRNA from 1 species
GGGCUACGACUAACUCCCAACCCAAUGUGAACCAUACCAAACUGUUGCCUCGGCGGGGUCACGCCCCGGGUGCGUCGCAGCCCCGGAACCAGGCGCCCGCCGGAGGGACCAACCAAACUCUUUCUGUAGUCCCCUCGCGGACGUUAUUUCUCACAGCUCUGAGCAAAAAUUCAAAAUGAAUCAAAACUUUCAACAACGGAUCUCUUGGUUCUGGCAUCGAUGAAGAACGCAGCGAAAUGCGAUAAGUAAUGUGAAUUGCAGAAUUCAGUGAAUCAUCGAAUCUUUGAACGCACAUUGCGCCCGCCAGUAUUCUGGCGGGCAUGCCUGUCCGAGCGUCAUUUCAACCCUCGAACCCCUCCGGGGGGUCGGCGUUGGGGAUCGGGAACCCCUAAGACGGGAUCCCGGCCCCGAAAUACAGUGGCGGUCUCGCCGCAGCCUCUCCUGCGCAGUAGUUUGCACAACUCGCACCGGGAGCGCGGCGCGUCCACGUCCGUAAAACACCCAACUUCUGAAAUGUUGACCUCGGAUCAGGUAGGAAUACCCGCUGAACUUAAGCAUAUCAAAAGUCCGGAGGAA